UUUUUUUUUAAGCAGGAUCAACCUUGAUUCCUCUUUUACAAUGAACCCCAUCAGCUUACCGGCCCGCACUCUGAUAGUGCACUUAUUUGAAUUCAACCUCAGUUUGAAUUGUCUCAACCGAUCAAAUGACUUGCCCCGGUCUACCAGAUGCCCCUCUCCUGUUUGGGACUUUGCUAUCAUGUCAUCAACAUAGCAUUGGAUUUCAUAAUGAAUCAU
rnacentral:lncRNA from 1 species